UACUCCUACGGGAGGCAGCAGUAGGGAAUCUUCCGCAAUGGGCGAAAGCCUGACGGAGCAACGCCGCGUGAGUGAUGAAGGUCUUCGGAUCGUAAAACUCUGUUAUUAGGGAAGAACAUAUGUGUAAGUAACUGUGCACAUCUUGACGGUACCUAAUCAGAAAGCCACGGCUAACUACGUGCCAGCAGCCGCGGUAAUACGUAGGUGGCAAGCGUUAUCCGGAAUUAUUGGGCGUAAAGCGCGCGUAGGCGGUUUUUUAAGUCUGAUGUGAAAGCCCACGGCUCAACCGUGGAGGGUCAUUGGAAACUGGAAAACUUGAGUGCAGAAGAGGAAAGUGGAAUUCCAUGUGUAGCGGUGAAAUGCGCAGAGAUAUGGAGGAACACCAGUGGCGAAGGCGACUUUCUGGUCUGUAACUGACGCUGAUGUGCGAAAGCGUGGGGAUCAAACAGGAUUAGAUACCCUGGUAGUCCACGCCGUAAACGAUGAGUGCUAAGUGUUAGGGGGUUUCCGCCCCUUAGUGCUGCAGCUAACGCAUUAAGCACUCCGCCUGGGGAGUACGACCGCAAGGUUGAAACUCAAAGGAAUUGACGGA
rnacentral:rRNA from 1 species